CGUCUCUCUUCUAUUCUCUUCCUCUCUUUCUUCUUUUUCCUCCUCUCAUUUUUCCUCUGCCUCCCACCUCCCACCUCUGCCCCAUCGGGAAAUUUGAGCUUCUUCGCACUUUCACCAUCUCCCUUCUCCAAGCGGCCAGCAUCUCCACAAGCUUUGGAUUGUAGCGGCCACCACCAUCUUUACCUCGUCCAGCUAUAGAUUUCUUCAUAGCAAGAUGAAAUUUGAGCAUCGUAGAUGGAUGUAUGAUAGGAAUCAUUCAAAUAGUACGGGGUUGCGGGAUGAGUUUAUAGAAGGGGUUGCUAGCUUUAUUGCUAAGGCAAAGAAACUUGAUGAUUUUCUUAUCGAAAGGACGAUUAUGUACCCUUGUAUGAAAUGCAAGUGUCUUAAAUUAUUGGGGCCCGAUAUUGUUAUUGUUCAUCUAUAUAAGAAGGGGUUUAUGGAAAAUUAUUAUGUGUGAAUUGUUCAUGGGGAGAGUCAUGCUAGUGUAGAUGAAGUGCUUUUUCAGAACUCUUUUGGUAGUGAAUAAGGUAGUCCCAUAGCGGAGAAUAUUAAUGUUGAAAUUCAAGAUUUAAUGAAAUGAUCAAGGAUACCUUUGAGAUGUUCCCUGGGACUCAAUCCAAACCAAAUGAUGAGGCUGAGAGCUUCUUCAAACAGUUAAAGGAAGCUAGUUGUCUGCUUUAUGAAGGCGUAGUGUAUUCCAAGUUGUCUGUUGCAGUUAUAUAACUAAGUAUUAAAUCAGAUAAUUCUAUUUCUCAAGCGGGCAUGGAUUCUAUCAUUGGCCUUAUGAAUGAACUUAAUCCGACCAUGAUUGACUUGCCCAAAGAUUUUUACAUGGCAAAGAAAUUAGUUUCCAAGUUGGGUCUUUCAUCGGAAAGGAUUGAUUGUUGUGAGAAAUGUUGCAUGUUAUUCUAUAAAGAUGAUGCAGCUUUAGAAAAUUAUAAAUUUUGUAACCAGCCACGUUACAAAGAAGUCACAAAUACUAAACAAAAGAAGGUUCCAGUGAAGGCGAUGCACUACUUACGCAUUAUACCAAGGUUAAAGAGGUUGUAUGCAUCAAUGAAUUCUGCUCUUCAUAUGAGAUAGCAUUAUGAACAUAGAAGGCCAGAUGGUGUGCUAUGUCAUCCGUCAGAUGGAGAAGCAUGAAAAUAUUUUGAUAUGGUGCUCCCAGUCUAUGCCGUUGAACCGAGAAAUACUAGCAUGGGUCGAACCGCGUGCAUCAGAGACAUAUGAAGGAUAUCAAAGAAGAAUUGAGUAGUGGCAACAAACUCAACUCGAUUCUCAACCGACGCCCGUAUGUAUGACUUCAAUAUAGAUACAGGCAGCCGGUGGAGUAAAUAAAAGAAUAAAAUAUUUUAGUAAUUUUUUCAAUAUGACUUCAUUUUAAUAUUUUUUGCAGAA